rnacentral:rRNA from 1 species
AGGAUUGCAUUUGAUACUAUCAAGCUAGAGUACAGGAGAGGAAAGCGGAAUNNNNNNNGUAGCGGUGAAAUGCGUAGAUAUUAGGAAGAACACCAGUAGCGAAGGCGGCUGUCUGGACUGAAACUGACGCUGAGGCUCGAAAGCGUGGGGAGCAAACAGGAUUAGAUACCCUGGUAGUCCACGCCGUAAACGAUGAGUGCUAGGUGUCGGGGAGGAAUCCUCGGUGCCGCAGCUAACGCAAUAAGCACUCCACCUGGGGAGUACGACCGCAAGGUUGAAACUCAAAGGAAUUGACGGGGGCCCGCACAAGCGGUGGAGCAUGUGGUUUAAUUCGACGCAACGCGAAGAACCUUACCAAGACUUGACAUCGUAUGACCGCCAUAGAGAUAUGGAAUUCCCUUCGGGGACAUAUAGACAGGUGGUGCAUGGUUGUCGUCAGCUCGUGUCGUGAGAUGUUGGGUUAAGUCCCGCAACGAGCGCAACCCUUAUGGACAGUUGCCAAUAUUAAGUUAGGAACUCUGUUCAGACUGCUGUGGAUAACACGGAGGAAGGUGGGGAUGACGUCAAAUCAUCAUGCCCCUUACGUCUUGGGCUACACACGUGCUACAAUGGCUAUUACAAAGAGCAGCGAGACGGUAACGUUAAGCGAAUCUCAAAAAGGUAGUCUCAGUUCGGAUUGUGGGCUGCAACCCGCCCACAUGAAGCUGGAGUUGCUAGUAAUCCCGAAUCAGAACGUCGGGGUGAAUGCGUUCUCGGGUCUUGUACACACCGCCCGUCAAGCCAUGGGAGUUGGGAGUACCCAAAGUCGNNGAGCUAACCGCAAGGAGGCAGCCGCCUAAGGUAAGACCAAUGACUGGGGUUAAGUCGUAACAAGGUAACCA